AUGUCGUCUUCCGUUUGUCUCAAAAAAAGAAUGUCGUCUUCCGUGCCGUCGUCGUCCUCGCCUCGCCGUCGUUCUCCCGCGAAUCGCCGCAGCCAUGGCGCGCCUCCCGCCGCCCGCGAGCCUCAAGCUGCGGGGCGCAGACGCCGCCGUUGGGAUGAAGGGGAGAAGGAUGUGUCAACGUUGUCGUCAGCCUACGGGUCUUCCGUGGAGAAUCGGCCGAGCGAAAGCCACUGCAAGCAGCCAGAAACUUCGUCAGCUGCAGUGGAGCAGAGACCUGAUCCUGCAAUCCCGGGGGAUGAGCAGAAGUUGUGUAGUGAGAAGAUGGAUGCAAAGACCCACACUGAUCACAAGGAGGGUCAAUCCAGAAGUGCUCGUCGCAAAAAGAUGAAAAGACAGAUAAUGGCAGAAUCUAGAAUGGAACUGAGGGAGCUCAAGCUGUGGGGUGCAGAUGCCGCCGUUGAAUCCCGCGUGCACCGCCCCCUGGAGCCGCCGCGGCUGGCCGGGAACCUCCACCAGCAUGUGUCUCUGUGUUCUGCCAGCAGGCGCCAGGAACCAAAUCCGCCGCCGAGCAGUCGAAACCGGUUGCAGGCGCCGCCGCCACUGAAAUCCAAAGUUAGGCCUCGAGCAAGGUCGCCGCCGAUCACUCAGCUCCUAGCGGAGCAGCAGCACGCCAAGCGGCCACACCGAGGCGAGGCGGACUCGGCCGAGGUUGCUGUUGAAGGUAAGGAGGAAGGGGGGAGGGCGGUGUCAAUGUUGUUGUCAGUCGAUGGGUCAUCCGUGGAGAAUCGGCCAAGCCACAGCAACUGCAACUGCGAGCAGCCAGAAACUUCAUCAGCUGCAGCGGAGAGACCUGAUCCUGCAAUCCCGGGGGAUGAUCAGAAGUUGGGUAGUGGGAAGAGGGAUGCAAAGACCCAGACUGAUAACAAGGAGGGUCCAUCCAGAAGUGCUCGUCGCAAAAAGAUGAAAAAACAGAUACGGGCAGAAUCUGAAAAGGAACUGAGGGAGAUGAAAAAGGAUAAGCUGUUAGAAAACAUUAAAAAGCUGCAAGCUUGUAUCUGGCUUCUUGAGAAGGAAGGUGCAGACACGGCUGAAAUCAUGGAAUUCAGGAGUUUGCUUGAAUCGACGAAGAUGCAGUAUGUGCAGUAUGUGGAGAAUGAGACACAGUUGGCAAAGGAAGGAUCGAGUGCAUCACCUCAGGCGCUAAACAAGGAUAGACUCGAGAAAAUGCAUGUGGAAGCUCGUAUAGAGAAGGUUGAGAGAGAUGAGCAGAACUUGGAUUCUGGAAAGGCAGAGGGCAGUAGCCUGAUAGGUUUCAAGGCAAUCCUGAAACAGAACAAAUUAGCGGAGGAGGUGAAUUUUCUUAAGAGUGAACUUGAAGCAGUCAGGCAAGAUCGUGAGUAUCAAUUAGCUCAGGUGCAAUCUUUGACGGUUGACAUAGCUAAGCAGAAAGAAGUUGCAAGAAAGUGUGGGGCUGAGCUAGAGAAUGCCAUGAGGAGAGUUGCUGCCCUCGAGGAAGGAGGCCUGUUGCAAAGGGAGACAAUCAGAACGUUGCAGAUUCAGCUUGCUUCUGCAAAUGAGAAACUAACGGGGCUGCCUUCUUCCACCAAAGAUUGA
rnacentral:rRNA from 1 species